rnacentral:rRNA from 1 species
UAGGGAAUCUUCCGCAAUGGACGAAAGUCUGACGGAGCAACGCCGCGUGAGUGAUGAAGGUUUUCGGAUCGUAAAACUCUGUUAUUAGGGAAGAACAAAUGCGUAAGUAACUGUGCGCAUCUUGACGGUACCUAAUCAGAAAGCCACGGCUAACUACGUGCCAGCAGCCGCGGUAAUACGUAGGUGGCAAGCGUUAUCCGGAAUUAUUGGGCGUAAAGCGCGCGUAGGCGGUUUGUUAAGUCUGAUGUGAAAGCCCACGGCUCAACCGUGGAGGGUCAUUGGAAACUGGGAAACUUGAGUACAGAAGAGGAAAGUGGAAUUCCAUGUGUAGCGGUGAAAUGCGCAGAGAUAUGGAGGAACACCAGUGGCGAAGGCGACUUUCUGGUCUGUAACUGACGCUGAUGUGCGAAAGCGUGGGGAUCAAACA